rnacentral:rRNA from 1 species
UACGGAGGGGACUAGCGUUGUUCGGAAUUAUUGGGCGUAAAGCGCACGUAGGCGGAUUUGUAAGUCAGGGGUGAAAUCCCGGGGCUCAACCUCGGAACUGCCUUUGAUACUGCAAAUCUCGAGUCCGGAAGAGGUGAGUGGAAUUCCUAGUGUAGAGGUGAAAUUCGUAGAUAUUGGGAAGAACACCAGUGGCGAAGGCGGCUCACUGGCUCGUAACUGACGCUCAGGCGCGACAGCGUGGGGAUCAAACAGG